CAUGGGAGCUGCCCCACAGCACACAGAGGCCUUGGGAAAGCCCUGUGCAAAGUACAGAGGUGCCCAGACAGGACUAGGAAGGCACACAUCCUGCUCGUCCUCCACAUACCUGAAGCCAGUACUUCAGUACCUCGCUACGUGCAGAUCCGCAGGAAAUGACAAUUCUAUUUUAAAGACUUUUGCAUUUUUUAACUUCAAGUAAAAUGCCAGUUUUUCUAAGCUGGCUCUGAGAAGGAACACAGGAAUCUCCAUGGAGCUCUGCUGGAGCUGCAGACCAUCUCAGCCCUGUGACUUCUAAUGCUCUGGCAGCCCAGCAAUUAUUGCUACCAGAAGGUGAGCUGGCAAGAAGUGAGGCUGCUGUCUGCCAGAACCUUGUCUGACAUGAAGCAUUCCUUCAAAGGCAAAUCAUCUGCACUAAGCUGACAGUUCUGCAAGUCCUGGGAGGAAGAAAACACAAAUUCUAUGGCCCUGCAUGAACAAAAUAAUGAAGUGCAUUCUUCAGUGUUCUUGGUUUUGUGGACUUUAUGUGCAAAGGAGCUGCUGCAGAUUCCCAAGGCAGGGAAGGAGGAACAUUGCAAGGUCAUAGGAAUAGCAUGGAAAGGGACCAACUGGGUGGGGAAAGGUGUCUCCCACAUCAAGUCUUUUAUUGAAGAUGUCUGGUUUAACUGGGGUUUGGUUUCUUUGCAACUUAAUGCAAGUGACAAUGAGGAGACUUCUCCUCAUUUAGAUGCUUCUGAAUUUCCCAUCAGUUCAGUUUGCUGUAUGAAUUAAUGACUAAAACAGGGAUGCUAAAAAGCAUUAGAGGCCACUAUUGCCAGGUCAAAGGCCUGUGUUUAAUCCAGAGGAAGGCAGAGCAUUUCAAACUAAGUUAAAACUAAGCUGAAAGCUGCAUUUCUAUUUUUGUUAACUCUGUUUAGUUAUCGAUAUUAACUGCCUGUUUACAUCUCCCUCGUGCUUUAAAUGAGUGAACUUUGAACGCUGCUCCCAUGUUUUCUCAUUCAGUUCCAUUGCAGUGCAGUGCCCAUAGAUAAGCCCUGUACAUAUCACCUUUCACUCUGUGGAUCUCCUGUAGAUGGUUUGCAGUGCGGAGCAGUGACUGACUCAGCCAUGAGGUGGCAUAUGGUGACACCCCCUGCUGCCAUCAAAAAUAACUCUUCCUUCACACACAAGUUGGUGUUAUCAUCCCUCUGUCUCUUCCCAUCUCCUCUCCUCCAUUCCCUGUGCACUCCUCUUCCUAUUAGGGAUUGUUCAUUCUCCUUAUUGCCCAAAGACCCUUCAUCCAUACACCAUGCUAUUGCCCCAUCUCUCUGCAUGGAAAUCUUUUCCCACUAAUGCUGCAGUUUCUUAUAUCACAGAUUAGAGCUGCUUUUGCCUCCCACACGUAAAGAACUUCCACAGUGCAGCGUCUUUUAUCUCUAUCCACAUCAGGAGGCUGCUCAUCAAGUUUCCGGACGAGCCUGCUUGCUAAUGGAGCUGAUUUGCAGCGGGAGCAGCUACCGGCAGUUGGGAUGUGCUGGGGUUGAAGGUCUCCAUCCCUCUUGUGACUAAUCCCCGUCAUUGCAACUCAGGAGAAGAGCUUGUGCUCGCAGCGCUUAUUGAAGAGCACCCUGCUGCAAGGAGGCUGUGUCUCAUGGAGAGCAUAGAGGAAAGCAGGUCAGAGACUUGUCGUCUGCAUGGAAACCACACAUGGGAGUGACUUGAUAUGCUGCUCCAGCAAAGCCCUGAACGCUUUAAUUCUGGCAUCUACUUGCCUGGAUUUGAUGGUGUUAUAGAAAGACUUUUAUUUUAAGAUCGCUGUGGCAAAAAUCUGUGUUUUGCUGAUCCCGGUUUUAAUUUGGACUUGUUCUACUAAUAGCAAACUUCAGUGUGUUCUGAAUUAGCUCUUGCAGUAGGAGUGUUAGUCCAUGAGGUAGGACAUAAACAUCAUAUGGCUUUCUACUUUACUGGGAGAUAAUUUGAUACAUGAUCAUAGGCAUGGUAUAGGAAUAGCAUUUAAAAUGUGCAGAUUGACUUCCAAAUUCAGCCAUCCUGAAAGUCAUUCCUCUCAUCUUUUGCUGACCUCGCUCCAUCAGUUGUCUUCAAUCUCUAGUAAUUUCACUGUUCCAGCUGUGCCAAACAACUGGAAUGAGCCCAAGUGCUACAGCACCUGGUGCCCUUCUUUGUUUCCUUGAAACAAUGUUCUUCAUGGCAAAACAGUAUCUGGAAGAGAGCAACAGUUACAGUCCUCGUGUUACAUGGGAAGCCAGAGUUCAGCCAUCCGGACCAGUUUAGCAAAGCUCUCGUAGGUGCCAUUUUCCCUGAUUUUCUCAUCACUUGCCAAGAUGUCCUAUGAGUACAGAGCCCACAUCUGUGAAAUCCUGCUGUGCUGAUUCACACAUACGUACCCUGUGAAAUAUCUCUAUCUCAUUUAUCUACAGCAUCGUAUAAAGCCAAACAUUGAGAGAGAGAUUAGGACUCACCUUAUGUCCUUCUCCCACAGUCCCAGGGAGCUGGAUGUCUCAGAACAGGGAGCAGGGGGCAGCUCUGGUCCUGUUGUGCUGGACAUGGUACUGCAGAACUGCACGGCAUUGAACCAUUAUUUCUGUCAGUUUGUGUAGUAAUUCAUUGGUACAGUCUGAUGGGAUGGAUUGGCUGGGAUCCUUUGAUGCUUUGAAAAUACUAUAAACUGGAAGAAAAACAAGGAGCUAAUAUACUCCUACAAACAUGCUGACAUGAAGUUUAAGCUACUCUGUCAGCAGCAGGUCAGCCAACCUAUUGUGUUUCUGGAGCUUUGGGUUUCUUUCUUAUGGAUGCUUGCUGACAGCAGCAGAACUGCAUUGACAAUGAAGACAUUACCUGCCAGAAGAUCUCUCCCAGGGCUCAGCCCAUAGUGAGAAAGGAGGGCUUCCCUUUAUUGGCUUCCUUUCUUCUUGUAAGUUCCCAAUUUUGCAUUUUAUUAUUUUUAUGGCUGAAAACCCACUUCAGGGCUUUUAAAAUACCAAUCUGUCUUAGUGUCUAAUGGAGACACCUGUAAUUGUUUAUUUCUGCUGGGUAGCACUUUUAGUACUGCCUGUUUGAAGCCUGGUUUACCCUGGCUGCUGGGGCUGCCUAUUGCAAUAAGCAGAACGGUCAUUAUAUGAGAACGAAUUUGUCUACUCUCAUCUGGUAAGACAACAUACAAGCCAUCCCUACAGCUGAAGACAGCAGUGGCUGUAUUUGGAAGAAGAGUGGCGGCAAAGGAGACAGUAGAGCUACCAGUGGUGCACGGUCACUGUUUUAUGAUUGCAUUUCCAGAAGCAGGAGGAUUGAAGUCUUGAGGAUUUCCCCUGUGCUGCUGACUCCCUGAUAACCUCAGUUCUUCUUCUGUGCAGGCUUGUCUGAGUCCCUCCUCUUCCUUCUUCAGAUGGUUUGAGCAAAGAACACAUCAAAGUUGUUGACGUGUUUCUCAUCAACAAAACACCAGCAGCCAAGUUAUCUAAAGCCAUUUUCUGCCUCCCUGCCACUGGGAAGAAAGUGCCUUCAGGGGUUCUCAUUGUGUACCCCAGGAGUACACAGCAAAUAACUCCUGAGUAAACAGAGGCACAGUCAGAAUCCCCCAUCCUCACCUCUGAAACAGUUUGUAUUCACAAUAAAACCCCUGCUUUGAUCUCC